UGAAGAUGACCAUUCUUGACCAUUUCGUGUUAUUCCGUGACAAGCCGAAUACGGAAAGCAUUCGUGACCGAUUCGUGUUAUUCCGGGACAAGCCGAAAAGAUGCGAGAGGUGACGGAUGUACGGAAAGGGGCGAGUUCUGACGAACGGAAGUUGACGUCAUUCGUCUGGAGCUAGGCUUCCAUUCGUCUCAGAUUGGGAAGGCUGAACUGAACGGCAGGAUGUCCGAUAAAGAAAAACAUGGAAAGGAAAUUCCUCGUCCAAGUCCCCGCCCACAAGAUCCACAACCAAACCAAUUUCGAAGACUACCAUCCAGUCCAUCUCGCCCUAUUCAUCGUCCAAGUCCACGCCCGUCGGAUCCAAAACCAAAACCUCCAGUUAACAGACCUGCUUACAAAUGACCAAGCUGAGUCAGCAAUUUUCCGAAGACUUCUUCUCAACAAAAUAAAUGUCAGAACUUAAGAGGGCCAUGCAGACAUCCUCAUGUGGGCCUCACUUCUUAGAUUAAGGUUGCAAUUCGGAUAAUGUGAAAGGCCAAAGUGUUGGUGUAUUUUGAUGAAAGCAUUAAUAAAAUAUUUUUAGUAUCUUUAUUUCGAUGAAUCAGAAGACAGAUGAAUAAAAUGGAGAAUUAAAACAAUUCCUUAAUAA